UCACCUGAGGACUUUGUUAAAAUGCAAAUCAUGAUUCUGCAGGCCUGAGAUUCUGCAUUCCUAACCAGUUCCCAGGUGAUG
rnacentral:miRNA from 1 species